rnacentral:lncRNA from 1 species
UACUAUGGGCCAGAUGCUAUGCCAAGCACCUUAUAUAGGAAAGUAUUUGCAUUUCAUGAAUUUUGAGAUGCAGUUUUUGAAACUGGAGUGUAUCUUAAAGUUGGUGUCUUCUCAGUGUCAGCAAGGCAGCAGUUGCAACAUUGCUGUUCUCGUCGCCUGUGGAUGUGCAAACUGGGUGUGCUCUUCCCAUUGUCAUCAUUUUUGUUGAGUAAUGUGCAUUGUUGAUAACCACAUGUGUUCAGUGUAAGCGCUUUUUAAGAUGCCUUCAAAAACAUUAUACUGUGAUUUGGUAUUAUAAUAAAAGGUGGUUUUAUACUCAGAAAGGCAGAGCAGUGGGGUUAAUUUGAUAUUAGUAAAGCACAGAUUUGCCAUUGGAGGAAUGAACAUGAUUUUUUACAAAGCAGGAGGUGUUUUUUUGGAACUAAGAAAGAAAGAUACCCACUAGUAAAUGAAGUUUUACUGACAUGCUGAGAUUCAUGCGAAAGGAUUGCCUAUCAAACAGCAAACAAGGCGCAACUAAAGGAGAAGUUGACCCAUCCUUUGGAAUAAAUGGAAGAAGUUUUAAUGUAGUGAGAGACACCAAUUCAUGCAGAGCACAGGACUAAUCAUUGAGAUGUGAAUCGAUUUGUUAGAUGCUUCCUGCUGACUUUGAACAGGAGCUGAUUAAUUUCCAGGGACAUGUGAUUCAAUAUAGAAAGAAGUGAAACUAGAGGUUAAGUCGAAUAAGAAACAAAAUCUGAAAAAGGCCAAAAGCGCUUUUUGAAUACGUAUAUCUUAAAGGUACUGGCAUUUGUCUUAAUCAACUAUGGGAAGGCACACGCGAAAUGACUGUCAUGAAGAAAGAAAUUUGUUAUACGCAUAGGUCCCUAGAAAUUGAAGGCGUGGUAUGCAUGCAGGGCCAUGGGUAAGCACCUGGAUUGGUCAGGAGGCAGAGGGAACAGGCGAAAACAUGGAUAAGAGCCUGUGUUGUGGUUUCUGCAGAAAUUAAUGUGCCAGACAGCAGGUAAGCAGGUUUGGGAUUGACUAAUUUGAAUUUUGAUGGGCCCUGGGGUCUAGGUGCUAUCCCUGGUUGUCUGGUACCUGGCCCUGGGGUGAUUAGGGCUGAGUGUGAGAGCCCUAUAAAAAGGUGCUUGAGGUGUGGGCUCUGGAUUGGUUGGUUUGCAUAUGAAAGACGUGUUCUCAGGCAAGUUGUUUGCUAUCUCCAGGAAUUAGCAAACUCUGGGAGGGGCAGUCCAGGGUCAGUACAGCCCCAAGAUGUCAAGUCAUCAGAAAACAAAAGGCAUGGUUAAUAUAAUAUAAAAAUGAUUCCAAGCAAUAAGCAUUGUCAUGGUUUAAUUUGUUCUUAGAGUGACAGAUUGUGGUAGUCAGCCUCUAAGAUGGCCUACAGUGACCCUACCUUCUAUAUUCAUGCCCUCCCACAUCGUAUCAUGGUUGAUUGGCAUGACCAAUAAAACACAGUAGAAGUGAUGAUGUGCCACUUUCAAGGCUUAUUUAUAAAAGACAUUUCAAGGCUAGGCUUUUGCACCCCGCCCGCACCCCUGGAAUCAUUCAGCCGCCAUAUCACAAGAACACACAGGCAAGCUCCUGGAGAGAUCUCCUUGCUGAGGAACUGAGGCUUCCUGCUGAUAGCCAUGUGAAUGAAAUAUCCUGGAAUCCAGUCCUCCCGCUUCAUUCAAGCCUAUAGAUGACAGCAACCUCAUGAGAAACUCUGAGCCAGAACUGCCCAGCUAAGCCACUCCCAGAUUAUUGAUUCUCAGAAAUUGUGUAAGAUAAUAAAUGAUUUUUUUUUUUUUAAGACAGGGUCUCCUUCUGUUGCCCAGGCUGGAGUGUGGUGGCAUGAUCAUGGCUCACUGUAGACCUCCUGGGCUCAAACGAUCCUCCCGUCUCAGCCUCCUGAGUGGUUGGGACCACAGGUACAUGUCACCAUGCCUGGCUAAUUGUUUUUAAUUUUUUGUAGAAACAGGGCCUUCCUAUGUUGUCCAGGCUGGUCUCAAACUCCUAGGUUCAAGCGAUUCUCCUACCUUGGCCUUCCAAAGUGCUGAGAUUACAAGCAUGAGCCACUGCGCCUGGCCAAUAAAUGCUUUAAGCUGCUGAAUUUUGGAGGUAAUUUGUUGUGUAGCAAUAUAUAGCCAACACAUACAUAAAUAAAGGUGUCUUUUUGCAAUAUGGCAUCCUCUGAAAAAUGCAGUAUUCCUAUUUUGUAGAUAAGGAAACUGACCUUAGAGAGAUCAAGCAAUUUGCUAAAAGUAACAUUACUGGUUAAUGUCAAGUAAACUUUAACCUGGCCUAUGUCAGAAUUCAUUUAAAUCUCUGAAUUUAUUUAGGUCUAAACUGGUUAUUUUACUGAUUUCUAAAAAUAUUAAUAGGGAAAUUUGAUAUUUUUGUGUCUUUGUAUCCAUCUUCUUCCUUGUAGGUGGAUGGCUUAGCAAAGUAUUUUUUAUUAAAGGUUGACAAUAUAUCCCACAUAAUUUCUCUUUCUCCUGUUUUUUUCUUUAAAUUUAUUUUAUUUUAUUUUUUAUUUUUUUGAGACAGAGUCUCAGUUUGUUGCCCAGGCUGGAGUGUAGUGGUGAGAUCUCAGCUCUUGCAACCGCCGCCUCCCAGACUUAAGCGAUUCUCAUGCCCCAGUCUCCCAAGUAGCUGGGAUUACAGGCAUGUGCCACCACUCCCAGCUAAUUUUUAUAUUUUUAGUAGAUACUGGGUUUUGCCAUGCUGGCCAGGCUGGUCUCCAACUCCUAGCCUCAAGUGAUCCACCUGCCUUGGCCUCCCAAAGUGCUGGGAUUACAGGUGUGACCCUGGCCUCUUUCUCCUUCUUAACACUAGUGUGUUAGUUGACUUGUGUGUUUAUUCAUAUGUUAUACAUUUAUUGAGGACCUGCUAAGGGCCAGGGACUAGGAAUAGAAGAAUGUGUAAAUCACAGCUCUAACCUUUGCCUUUCUAGUCUGGUAAUGUCUCUGAAUGCCGAUCUCUCUCUCUCUUAGAAAGAGGUGCCUUGUCCUCUCUCUCAACUGUCCCACCAUCAGUAAGGGAACCAGGAAACCAGUCUUUGAGUAUGGAGUUAACAAGAAAGCUGAGUGUUGGGCGGCUUUUUUGUGGAAGCUCACUGCUUAUCCAUGUAAUGUUUCAUUAAUUCUUUGAUGCUGAAGUUUCACCUCCUGCAGGGAGCAUUUGCAGCACCCCAGGCGAGUUGUCAGCAGUUGCUGCCUGGCAGUAGCACACAUUAACUCUAGUGAGCAGAAGUGGAGCUCGAAGGCUCCCCACACUGCUGCACCUUGAGCUGCUCUUCCUGGCCCAGCCUGUUCUGCUUCCUGGGACCCCAGAUCUGGUCUCCAAGUACUGUUUCUCUUCUAAGUGUAGUCAUUAACUUCCCAGAGUGAGAAGAAGAGACUAAAAAAAAAGAGAGACAGACUGUCUCUUAGUUUUAAUUAAUUGUUGAAAGAAUAGAGAGGGGCCAUAUUUCUACUGAAAGAAAGGAGAAGUUGGGGAAUGGGAAUAUUCUGAACCGGAAUGAAAAAGUGAAUGAAAGGUAAUCUUUAGAUUCAGUCUCUUUGCCCUAGUCUUUAAAAGUUUCUGUUGGGGGUUAUUUGCCCUAGUCUUUAAAAGUUUCUGUUGGGGGUUACAAAGUUUGAAAUCUGUCUUAAGGAGGGAUGUAUUACUCAAAAUAAAUUGCCUCUAUCAUUCAGUGUGAUAUGAUGGACUUGGAAGGGGCAGGAUUAGAGGAGGUGAGGGAUAAAAAUCUACAUAUUGUGUACAGUGUAUACUACUCCAGUGAUAGAUGCACUAAAAUCUCAGCCUUCACCACAGUUCAUGCAUGUAACCAAAACCACUGCUACCCCAAAAGCUGCUG